GACGAACGCUGGCGGCGUGCUUAACACAUGCAAGUCGAACGCUGAAGCUCAGCUUUUGUUGGGUAGAUGAGUGGCGAACGGGUGAGUAGCACGUGAGUAACCUGCCUCCUUCUUUGGGAUAACGCCCGGAAACGGGUGCUAAUACUGGAUAUUCACUGGUCUUCGCAUGGGGGUUGGUGGAAAGGGUUUUUCUGGUGGGGGAUGGGCUCGCGGCCUAUCAGCUUGUUGGUGGGGUGAUGGCCUACCAAGGCUUUGACGGGUAGCCGGCCUGAGAGGGUGACCGGUCACAUUGGGACUGAGAUACGGCCCAGACUCCUACGGGAGGCAGCAGUGGGGAAUAUUGCACAAUGGGCGCAAGCCUGAUGCAGCGACGCCGCGUGAGGGAUGGAGGCCUUCGGGUUGUGAACCUCUUUCGCUCAUGGUCAAGCCGCAACAAUGGUUGUGGUGAGGGUAGUGGGUAAAGAAGCGCCGGCUAACUACGUG
rnacentral:rRNA from 1 species